rfam:Culex pipiens quinquefasciatus supercont3.392 genomic scaffold, whole genome shotgun sequence.
CAAACGGUCCUUUUCAGGACCACCAAAGUUAUCACUAAAGAGAUUGU